AAGGCCUUGAUUCCCUGUUGGACGCCCAACCUGAGACUAAAAGUGACAAGGUUUAGUCCCAAGACGAGCCUCCAACCGGGACUAGGGAUCUUUUAGUCUUGGUGACUCCACGCAGGACUAAAAAACUCCCUUCUAUAUAUUUGGAUCUGUAACACCUAAAAAUUUGAAUUUCAUUUAAUAGGAAUUAAUUUGAUUUAUUUAAGUAUUUUUGUGGGCAUUUGAAUCUAGCAAAUAAAUAAUUUUGUGCAAAUUAAAAUUUACCAUAAAUUUAGAAACAUGAAUUUGCAUUCAUACUGGGGCAUAUUUUUAUUUUGUGCUGUGAGACUUUGGUUUGAAGUUAUUUGUGUUUAAAAUUCUAUUUGAAAAAGGCUUUGAAAAAUAAAAUUAGAAAUAAGAAAAAAAAAGAAAGAGAAAGCCCCUGGUGACCAAACGGCCCAGUCUUCCCCUCUCUCCUCUCUCCCUGCCCAGUCUCUGCGCUCGGCCCAAGCUGGCCAGCUACUGGCCCAGCACGCCACCCACCUCUCCCUGGCCUUCUUGCCCCCGCAGCCCAGCUUCCUCCCCCGCGGCCAACUUCCUUCACUGGCCCAGCAGCGCGCCCCUCCUCUUUCUCCCUUUCUUUCUCUCGCUGCCAUCUGGAGCCCACACGUCAGCGACUUACCUUUCUUCUUCCUCAGGUCGUGGCCGAGACGGUCUCUCAUUCUCUCACC
rnacentral:lncRNA from 1 species